rnacentral:rRNA from 1 species
AACGUAGGACGCAAGCGUUAUCCGGAGUUACUGGGCGUAAAGCGCGAGCAGGCGGCUCGACAAGUUCGAUGUGAAAGCGCCCGGCUCAACCGGGCGAGGCCAUUGGAAACUAUCGAGCUGGAGGGCAGUAGAGGCAGGCGGAAUUCCGGGUGGAGUGGUGAAAUGCGUAGAGAUCCGGAGGAACACCAGAGGCGAAGGCGGCCUGCUGGGCUGCACCUGACGCUGAGCCGCGAAAGCGUGGGGAGCGAACAGG